GAUGAACGCUGGCGGCGUGCCUAAUACAUGCAAGUCGAGCGAACAGAUGAGGAUCUUGCUCCUCUGACGUUAGCGGCGGACGGGUGAGUAACACGUGGAUAACCUACCUAUAAGACUGGGACAACUUCGGGCAACCGGAUCUAAUACCGGAUAAUAUAUUGAACCGCAUGGUUCAAUAGUGAAAGACGGUUUUGCUGUCACUUAUAGAUGGAUCCGCGCCGCAUUAGCUAGUUGGUAAGGUAACGGCUUACCAAGGCAACGAUGCGUAGCCGACCUGAGAGGGUGAUCGGCCACACUGGGACUGAGACACGGUCCAGACUCCUACGGGAGGCAGCAGUAGGGAAUCUUCCGCAAUGGGCGAAAGCCUGACGGAGCAACGCCGCGUGAGUGAUGAAGGUCUUCGGAUCGUAAAACUCUGUUAUUAGGGAAGAACAAAUGUGUAAGUAACUAUGCACGUCUUGACGGUACCGGAUCAGAAAGCCACGGCUAACUACGUG
rnacentral:rRNA from 1 species